rnacentral:rRNA from 1 species
CCCCGGCGCCACAAGUGGUCAUCGCGUUUAUUGGGUCUAAAGCGUCCGUAGCCGGUUUGGUAAAUCCAUUGUGAAAUCGUCUCGCUUAACGUGACGGCGCGCAGUGGACACUGCCAGACUCGAGACCGGGAGGGGACAGAGGUAUUCCUGAGGGAACGGUAAAAUGUGAUAAUCUCAGGAGGACCCCCAAUGGCGAAGGCAUCUGUCCAGAACGGAUCUGACGGUGAGGGACGAAAGCUAGGGGA